rnacentral:rRNA from 1 species
CCUACGGGAGGCAGCAGUGAGGAAUAUUGGUCAAUGGGAGGAAUCCUGAACCAGCCAUGCCGCGUGCAGGACGAAGGCUCUACGAGUUGUAAACUGCUUUUGUACCGGGGUAAAAUGCUCUACGCGUAUGGUUUUGAACGUACGGUACGAAUAAGGAUCGGCUAACUCCGUGCCAGCAGCCGCGGUAAUACGGAGGAUCCGAGCGUUAUCCGGACUCAGUGGGUUUAAAGGGUGCGUAGGUUGUUUGAUAAGUUAGCGGUGAAAUACCGAGGCUCAACAUCGGUGCUGCCGCUGAUACUGUAGGACUAGAGAUCGGAUGAAGUAGGCGGAAUGUGUAGUGUAGCGGUGAAAUGCAUAGAUAUUACACAGAACACCGAUGGCGAAGGCAGCUUGCUAGGCCGGAUCUGACACUGAUGCACGAAAGCGUGGGGAUCGAACAGGAUUAGAUACCCUUGUAGUC